rnacentral:snRNA from 1 species
AUACUUACCUGGCUUGGGAGACAUCACGAUAAGGCAGCUGCUUUUACUAGGGUGAGGCCCAUCUCCUGCACUUCAGGUGUGCUAUCACUUUCGAUUUCCCCAAAGGCAUGAAACUCCACAACACAUUUUGUCACAGUAGGAGACUACUAGUUCCAGUGCACCAC